rnacentral:lncRNA from 1 species
GAUAACUAAAGGCGGUCUACAGAAGAGAAUCUGCUCACCUGGAAGCCUUACUUGAACUGGGAAAAGUUUCCAGCUUUUGGCUUCUGAGAUCCAUACGAAUAUCCCUGCAACCAGGCACAGAAAAGUUACUGACCCCAGCAUGUUUCAUCAUCUUUUGUAGCAAGUGGGCAUGGAUCCGCCUGAGCCUGGGAUAACACCCCUCUCUCCUGCCAAGG